AUACGGAGGGUGCAAGCGUUAAUCGGAAUUACUGGGCGUAAAGCGCACGCAGGCGGUUUGUUAAGUCAGAUGUGAAAUUCCCGGGCUCAACCUGGGAACUGCAUCUGAUACUGGCAAGCUUGAGUCUCGUAGAGGGGGGUAGAAUUCCAGGUGUAGCGGUGAAAUGCGUAGAGAUCUGGAGGAAUACCGGGGGCGAAGGCGGCCCCCUGAACGAAGACUGACGAUCAGGUGCGAAAGCGGGGGGAGCAAACAGGAUUAUAUACCCUGGUAUGCGACGCCGUAAACGAUGUCGACUUGGAGGUUGUGCCCUUGAGGCGUGGCUUCCGGAGCUAACGCGUUAAGUAGACCGCCUGGGGAGUACGGCCGCAAGGUUAAAACUCAAAUGAAUUGACGGGG
rnacentral:rRNA from 1 species